rnacentral:rRNA from 1 species
UACGUAGGGUGCGAGCGUUAAUCGGAAUUACUGGGCGUAAAGCGUGCGCAGGCGGUUUUGUAAGCCAGAUGUGAAAUCCCCGGGCUUAACCUGGGAAUGGCAUUUGGGACUGCAAGGCUGGAGUGCGGCAGAGGAGACUGGAAUUCCUGGUGUAGCAGUGAAAUGCGUAGAUAUCAAGAGGAACACCAGUGGCGAAGGCGAGUCCCUGGACAACUUCUGACGCUGAGGCACGAAAGCCAGGGGAGCGAACGGG